UACGUAGGGGGCAAACGUUGCUCGGAAUCACUGGGCAUAAAGCGCACGUAGGUGGCACUGUAAGUCUGAUGUGAAAUCCCUCGGCUCAACCGAGGAACUGCGUUGGAUACUGCCGUGCUUGAGGGUCGGAGGGGAGACAGGAACUCCUGGUGUAGCGGUGAAAUGCGUAGAUAUCAGGAGGAACGCCGGUGGCGAAAGCGUGUCUCUGGACGACAUCUGACACUGAGGUGCGAAAGCUAGGGGAGCAAACGGG
rnacentral:rRNA from 1 species